AUGAGCUGGUUUACAGCCGCCAUUACAUUGAAGGAAGAAGAAGACGACCGAUGGCGGGGAAAACAAGCAGGAGUUUCUGCGGACAAACAUUCAUUUAUUGAAUAUAUAAAAACAGAAAUUAGACAGUCUGCCGCUGCGAAGACACUGAAGCUAGCUUAACGAGAAGCACCUGGCCGGGAGGUAAAGUUAACGACCCUGGGUGAAACAAUGGAUCAGACCUGUUUAAUGUACCUGAGUAUCGUCAUGGUUGAUCUACACAACACCUGCUUAAAGGAACCAAAAAGUGACUCGGUGACUGAAGACGUGAGGAAGGUCUGGACCUCUGGAGCAGUCAGGAGUCUUCAGGUCCUUGUUAAAAAUGGAGGCGAUGCUGGACUCCACACAGAAGGUAAACCUUUGCUUUCACCCUGAUGUUGGACCUUCAGCAGCUGAUUGGUCGACCCAGUCCCACACAUGGACGGAGCCGUCUGAGGCUGCAGACAGCAGCGUCCGUGAACGUUCGGGGUGCCAGACGUGGGAGGUAACAAAGACGUCGUCACCAGACUGCGAUGAAACGGCGUGCCCACGAUGCUCGAACAGCGGCUGAACUUCCUGCAGCUCGUUCCUCCAGAUGGACGUGUUGUAGAUCUGAACGGCUCCACUGAAACCUGCAGACCUGGAUCACCGUGUUGCUGUGAACUCACCUGACACUGCGAUACAGUCGUCCAGCGCCGGAGCCCACGACACUCUGACAUCAUCCAGAUUGCAGUGACGUGGCUGGACGUCCAGCUGAGCCCGACUCACAGAACCUCC